GGGGGGGCGGCCUUAACAUGCAAGUCGAGCGGUAGCACAGAGAGCUUGCUCUCGGGUGACGAGCGGCGGACGGGUGAGUAAUGUCUGGGAAACUGCCUGAUGGAGGGGGAUAACUACUGGAAACGGUAGCUAAUACCGCAUAACGUCGCAAGACCAAAGUGGGGGACCUUCGGGCCUCAUGCCAUCAGAUGUGCCCAGAUGGGAUUAGCUAGUAGGUGGGGUAACGGCUCACCUAGGCGACGAUCCCUAGCUGGUCUGAGAGGAUGACCAGCCACACUGGAACUGAGACACGGUCCAGACUCCUACGGGAGGCAGCAGUGGGGAAUAUUGCACAAUGGGCGCAAGCCUGAUGCAGCCAUGCCGCGUGUGUGAAGAAGGCCUUCGGGUUGUAAAGCACUUUCAGCGGGGAGGAAGGCGUUAAGGUUAAUAACCUUGGCGAUUGACGUUACCCGCAGAAGAAGCACCGGCUAACUCCGUGCCAGCAGCCGCGGUAAUACGGAGGGUGCAAGCGUUAAUCGGAAUUACUGGGCGUAAAGCGCACGCAGGCGGUCUGUCAAGUCGGAUGUGAAAUCCCCGGGCUCAACCUGGGAACUGCAUUCGAAACUGGCAGGCUAGAGUCUUGUAGAGGGGGGUAGAAUUCCAGGUGUAGCGGUGAAAUGCGUAGAGAUCUGGAGGAAUACCGGUGGCGAAGGCGGCCCCCUGGACAAAGACUGACGCUCAGGUGCGAAAGCGUGGGGAGCAAACAGGAUUAGAUACCCUGGUAGUCCACGCCGUAAACGAUGUCGAUUUGGAGGUUGUGCCCUUGAGGCGUGGCUUCCGGAGCUAACGCGUUAAAUCGACCGCCUGGGGAGUACGGCCGCAAGGUUAAAACUCAAAUGAAUUGACGGGGGCCCGCACAAGCGGUGGAGCAUGUGGUUUAAUUCGAUGCAACGCGAAGAACCUUACCUGGUCUUGACAUCCACAGAACUUUCCAGAGAUGGAUUGGUGCCUUCGGGAACUGUGAGACAGGUGCUGCAUGGCUGUCGUCAGCUCGUGUUGUGAAAUGUUGGGUUAAGUCCCGCAACGAGCGCAACCCUUAUCCUUUGUUGCCAGCGGUUAGGCCGGGAACUCAAAGGAAACUGCCAGUGAUAAACUGGAAGGAAAGGUGGGGAUGACGUCAAGUCAUCAUGGCCCUUACGACCAGGGCUACCCCCGUGCUACAAUGGCCUUUACAAAGAAAAACGACCUCCCCAAAAC
rnacentral:rRNA from 1 species